rnacentral:ncRNA from 1 species
CUUAUAUGACUGACGGAAUGAGUGGAAUAGACCACGUGAAGUAUAAGAGUAAUGAGCCGACCGUCUGGGCAG